GGGAAUCUACCUAGUUCUACGGAACAACACAGGGAAACUUGUGCUAAUACCGUAUACGCCCUACGGGGGAAAGAUUUAUCGGAAUUAGAUGAGCCCGCGUAAGAUUAGCUAGUUGGUGGGGUAAUGGCCUACCAAGGCGACGAUCUUUAGCUGGUCUGAGAGGAUGAUCAGCCACACUGGGACUGAGACACGGCCCAGACUCCUACGGGAGGCAGCAGUGGGGAAUAUUGGACAAUGGGCGCAAGCCUGAUCCAGCCAUGCCGCGUGAGUGAUGAAGGCCUUAGGGUUGUAAAGCUCUUUCAGUGGGGAAGAUAAUGACGGUACCCACAGAAGAAGCCCCGGCUAACUUCGUGCCAGCAGCCGCGGUAAUACGAAGGGGGCUAGCGUUGUUCGGAUUUACUGGGCGUAAAGCGCACGUAGGCGGUUUGUUAAGUCAGGGGUGAAAUCCCGGAGCUCAACUCCGGAGCUGCCUUUGAUACUGGCAAGCUAGAGUCCGGAAGAGGUAAGUGGAACUCCUAGU
rnacentral:rRNA from 1 species